rnacentral:rRNA from 1 species
GUCAGCUCGUGUCGUGAGAUGUUUGGUCAAGUCCUAUAACGAGCGAAACCCUCGUUUUGUGUUGCUGAGACAUGCGCCUAAGGAGAAAUUGCCACCGAGUGACGUGCCAGCGCUACUACUUGAUUGAGUGCCAGCACGUAGCUGUGCUUUCAGCAAGAAUUUCACCAUUGGGAGCCGGUGCCUUUCGAAGCACUUUCACGUGUGAACCGAAGUCGUCUUGCCCAAGACCCACGGAGACCUACCUAUAGUGACGUCAAAGUACCAGUGAGCAUGGAGGUUUGGUUGAAAUUGGUUACGACGACGUCGAGUUGGCGGCGGAGGAAGACUCGGCAUGAAGGCCAGAAAAUGGUGUGGAACGUAGUGGUAAUAGUACGCGCCCCGCUCCGAAACAAAGAAAAAGGUGCGUGCCGCACUCACGAGGGACUGCCAGUGAGAUACUGGAGGAAGGCGGGGAUGACGUCAAGUCCGCAUGGCCCUUAUGGGCUGGGCCACACACGUGCUACAAUGGCAAUGACAAUGGGAAGCAAGGCUGUAAGGCGGAGCGAAUCCGGAAAGAUUGCCUCAGUUCGGAUUGUUCUCUGCAACUCGGGAACAUGAAGUUGAAAUCGCUAGUAAUCGCGGAUCAGCAUGCCGCGGUGAAUAUGUACCCGGGCCCUGUACACACCGCCCGUCACACCCUGGGAAUUGGUUUCACCC